UGGGGAAUAUUGGACAAUGGGCGCAAGCCUGAUCCAGCAAUGCCGCGUGUGUGAAGAAGGCCUUCGGGUUGUAAAGCACUUUUAUCAGGAGCGAAACGCUGUCGGCUAAUACCCGGCGGAACUGACGGUACCUGAGGAAUAAGCACCGGCUAACUUCGUGCCAGCAGCCGCGGUAAUACGAAGGGUGCAAGCGUUAAUCGGAAUUACUGGGCGUAAAGCGUGCGUAGGCGGUUUCUUAAGUCUGCUGUGAAAUCCCCGGGCUCAACCUGGGAAUGGCAGUGGAUACUGGGAGGCUAGAGUGUGUCAGAGGGUGGUGGAAUUCCCGGUGUAGCGGUGAAAUGCGUAGAGAUCGGGAGGAACAUCAGUGGCGAAGGCGGCCACCUGGGACAACACUGACGCUGAGGCACGAAAGCGUGGGGAGCAAACAGGAUUAGAUACCCUGGUAGUCCACGCCCUAAAGCGAUGCGAACUGGAUGUUGGUCUCAACUCGGAGAUCAGUGUCGAAGCUAACGCGUUAAGUUCGCCGCCUGGGGAGUACGGUCGCAAGACUGAAACUCAAAGGAAUUGACGGGGUCAUAGCUGUUUCCU
rnacentral:rRNA from 1 species